rnacentral:rRNA from 1 species
UCGGGAAUCUUGGACAAUGGGCGCAAGCCUGAUCCAGCCAUGCCGCGUGGAUUAUGAAGGCCUUAGGGUUGUAAAAUCCUUUCGUGGGGGACGAUAAUGACGGUACCCCAAGAAGAAGCUCCGGCUAACUUCGUGCCAGCAGCCGCGGUAAUACGAAGGGGGCUAGCGUUGUUCGGAUUUACUGGGCGUAAAGCGCGUGUAGGCGGGUCGUUAAGUUGGGGGUGAAAUCCCGAGGCUCAACCUCGGAACUGCCUUCAAAACUGGCGACCUGGACUCAAGCAGAGGCAAGUGGAAUUGCGAGUGUAGAGGUGAAAUUCGUAGAUAUUCGCAGGAACACCAGUGGCGAAGGCGGGUCUCUGGGAAACAACUGACGCUGAGGAACGAAAGCGUGGGUAGCAAACAGGAUUAGAUACCCCGGUAGUCCCUGAGCGGGCUGGCAAGGCGCAU